rnacentral:lncRNA from 1 species
GUUGACAUCGAUUCGUUUCAAAUUUACACUCUCGAGGCAUAAUAGAACAAUAUAAUUAGGUUUUACUCUUUGUUCGAUAGAAUGAGAAAAAGUACUCAUUGCAAAGUUAUACUGUUAGGGCGCAACCGAAUAGUCUAAUGUUGUUCCGGUUUUGGUUCUUGUGAACGCUGACAUCAAUUGGUUCGAAAUUACAACUCUCGGGGCAUAAUUGAACAAUAUAAAUUAGGUUUUACUCUUUGUUCGAUAGAAUGAGAAAAAGAACUCGUCGCAAAGUUAUACUGCUAGGGGGCAACUGAGUAGUCUAAUAUUGUUCCGGUUUUGGUUCUUGUGAACGUUGACAUCGAUUCGUUCCAAAUUUACACUCUCGGGGCAUAAUAGAACAAUACAAUUAAGUUUUACUCUUUGUUCGAUCGAAUGAGAAAAAGUACUCGUUGCAAAUUUAUAAUAUUAGGGCGCAGCUGAGUAGUCUAAUGUUGUUCCGGUUUUGGUUCUUGUGAAGGUUGACAUCGAUUCGUUCCAAAUUUACACUCUUGGGGCAUAAUAGAACAAUAUAAUUAGCUUUUACACUUUGUUCGAUCGAAUGGGAAAAAAGUACUCGUUACAAAGUUAUACUGUUAGGGCGCAACUGAGUAGUCUAUUGUUGUUCCAGCUUUGGUUCUUAUGAAGGUUGACAUCGAUUCAUUCCAAAUUUACACUCUCGCGGCAUAAUAGAACAAUAUAAUUAGCUUUUACACUUUGUUCGAUUGAAUGAGAAAAAGUACUAGUUGCAAAGUUAUAUUGUUGGGGUACAACAGAGUAGUCUAUUGUUGUUCCGGUUUUGGUUCUAGUGAAAGUUGACAUCGAUUCGUUCCAAAUUUACACUCUCGGGGCAUAAUGAAUAAAAUAAUUAGCUUUUACACUUUGUUCGAUUGAAUGAGAAAAAGUACUAGUUGCAAAGUUAUACUGUUGGGGCGCAACAGAGUAGUCUACUGUUGUUCCGGUUUUGGUUCUUGUUAAGGUUGACAUCGAUUCAUUCCAAAUUUACACUCUCGGGGCAUAAUAGGACAAUAUAAUUAGGUUUUACUCUUUGUUCGAUAGAAUGAGAAAAAGUACUCAUUGCAAAGUUCUACUGUUAGGGCGCAACUGAAUAGCGUUAUGUUGUUACGGUUUUGGUUCUUGUGAACGUUGACAUCGAUUCGUUCGAAAUUACAACUCUCGCGGCAUAAUUGAACAAUAUAAUUAGGUUUUACACUUUGUUCAAUAGAAUGAGAAAAAGUACUCGUCGCAAAGUUAUACUGUUGGGGCGCAACUAAGUAGUCUAAUGUUGUUCCGGUUUUGGUUCUUGUGAACGUUGACAUCGAUUCGUUCCAAAUUUACACUCUCGGGGCAAAAUAGGACAAUAUAAUUAAGUUUUACGCUUUGUUCGAUCGAAUGAGAAAAUGUACGCGUUGCAAAUUUAUACUGUUAGGGCGCAGCUGGGUAGUCUAAUGUUGUUCCGGUUUCGGUUCAUGUGAAGGUUGACAUCGAUUCGUUCCAAAUGUACACUCUUGGGGCAUAAUAGAACAAUAUAAUUAGCUUUUACACUUUGUUCAAUCGAAUGGAAAAAAAUACUCGUUGCAAAGUUAUACUGUUAGGGCGCAGCUUAGUAGUCUAAUGUUGUUCCGGUUUUGGUUCUUGUGAAGGUUGACAUCGAUUCGUUCUAAAUUUACACUCGCGGGGCAUAAUAGAACAAUAUAAUUAGCUUUUACACUUUGUUCGGUCGAAUGGGAAAAAGUACUCGUUGCAAAGUUAUACUGUUAGGGCGGAACUGAGUAGACUAUUGUUGUUCCGGUUUUGGUUCUUGUGAAGGUUGACAUCGAUUCGUUCCAAAUUUACACUCUUGGGGCAUAAUAGAACAAUAUAAUUAGUUUUUACACUUUGUUCGAUUGAUUAAGAAAAAGUACUAGUUGCAAAGUUAUACUGUUGGGGCGCAACAGAGUAGUCUAUUGUUGUUCCGGUUUUGAUUCUUGCUAAGGUUGACAUCGAUUCGUUCCAAAUUUACACUCUCGGGGCAUAAUAGAACAAUAUAAUUUGGUUUUACUCUUUGUUCGAUAGAAUAAGAAAAAGUAGUCAUUGCAAUGUUAUACUGUUAGGGCGCCACUGAAUAGUCUAAUAUUGUUCCGGUUUUGGUUCUUGUGAACGUUGACAUCGAUUCGUUCGAAAUUACAACUCUCGGGGCAUAAUUGAACAAUAUAAUUAGGUUUUACUCUUUGUUCGAUAGAAUGAGAAAAAGUACUCGUCGCAAAGUUAUACUGCUAGGGCGCAACUGAGUAGUCUAAUGUUGUUCCGAUUUUGGUUCUUGUGAACGUUGACAUCGAUUCGUUCCAAAUUUACACUCUCGGGGCACAAUUGAACAAUAUAAUUAGGUUUUACUCUUUGUUCGAUAAAAAGAGAAAAAGUACUCGUUGCAAAGUUAUACUGUUAGGGCGCAACAGAGUAGUCUAAUGUUGUUCCGGUUUUCGUUCUUGUGAACGGUGACAUCGAUUCGUUCCAAAUUUACACUCUCGGGNCUGGGAACUUGUUGUACACAAUCUCGUCGUUGUGCCUUGGGCGGACAGGGGAGGUACUGUCCGUACGGCGGUCCGCCGCCGUGCCCGAACCGAACCAAAUUGGUAUCGGCCUCGGGGCGGGGGCGUGACAGAAAAAUUACUAGUUGCAAAGUUAUACUGUUGGGGCGCAACAGAGUAGUCUAUUGUUGUUCCGGUUUUGGUUAUUGUUAAGGUUGACAUCGAUUCGUUUCAAAUUUACACUCUCGAGGCAUAAUAGAACAAUAUAAUUAGGUUUUACUCUUUGUUCGAUAGAAUGAGAAAAAGUACUCAUUGCAAAGUUAUACUGUUAGGGCGCAACCGAAUAGUCUAAUGUUGUUCCGGUUUUGGUUCUUGUGAACGCUGACAUCAAUUGGUUCGAAAUUACAACUCUCGGGGCAUAAUUGAACAAUAUAAAUUAGGUUUUACUCUUUGUUCGAUAGAAUGAGAAAAAGAACUCGUCGCAAAGUUAUACUGCUAGGGGGCAACUGAGUAGUCUAAUAUUGUUCCGGUUUUGGUUCUUGUGAACGUUGACAUCGAUUCGUUCCAAAUUUACACUCUCGGGGCAUAAUAGAACAAUACAAUUAAGUUUUACUCUUUGUUCGAUCGAAUGAGAAAAAGUACUCGUUGCAAAUUUAUAAUAUUAGGGCGCAGCUGAGUAGUCUAAUGUUGUUCCGGUUUUGGUUCUUGUGAAGGUUGACAUCGAUUCGUUCCAAAUUUACACUCUUGGGGCAUAAUAGAACAAUAUAAUUAGCUUUUACACUUUGUUCGAUCGAAUGGGAAAAAAGUACUCGUUACAAAGUUAUACUGUUAGGGCGCAACUGAGUAGUCUAUUGUUAUUCCAGUUUUGGUUCUUGUGAAGGUUGACAUCGAUUCGUUCCAAAUUUACACUCUCGGGGCAUAAUAGAACAAUAAAAUUAGCUUUUACACUUUGUUCGAUUGAAUAAGAAAAAGUACUAGUUGCAAAGUUAUAUUGUUGGGGUGCAACAGAGUAGUCUAUUGUUUUUCCGAUUUUGGUUCUGGUGAAGGUUGAUAUCGAUUCGUUCCAAAUUUACACUCUCGGGGCAUAAUGAAUAAAAUAAAUAGCUUUUACACUUUGUUCGAUUGAAUGAGAAAAAGUACUAGUUGCAAAGUUAUACUGUUGGGGCGCAACAGAGUAGUUUACUGUUGUUCCGAUUUUGGUUCUUGUUAAGGUUGACAUCGAUUCAUUCCAAAUUUACACUCUCGGGGCAUAAUAGAACAAUACAAUUAAGUUUUACUCUUUGUUCGAUCGAAUGAGAAAAAGUACUCGUUGCAAAAUUAUGCUGUUAGGGCGCAACUGAGUAGUCUAGUGUUGUUCCGAUUUUGGUUCUUGUGAAGAUUGACAUCGAUUCGUUCCAAAUUUACACUCUCGGGGCAUAAUAGAACAAUAUAAUUAGCUUUUACACUUUGUUCGAUUGAAUGAGAAAAAGUACUAGUUGCAAAGUUAUACUGUUGGGGCGCAACAGAGUAGUCUAUUGUUGUUCCGGUUUUGGUUCUUGUUAAGGUUGACAUCGAUUCGUUCCAAAUUUACACUCUCGGGGCAUAAUAGAACAAUAUAAUUAGGUUUUACUCUUUGUUCGAUCGAAUGAGAAAAAGUACUCGUUGCAAAGUUAUACUGUUAGGGCGCAACUGAGUAGUCUAAUGUUGUUCCGGUUUUGGUUCUUGUGAACGUUGACAUCGAUUCGUUCGAAUUUACACUCUCGCGGCAUAAUAGAACAAUAUAAUUAGGUUUUACACUUUGUUCGAUAGAAUGAGAAAAAGUACUCGUUGCAAAGUUAUACUGUUAGGGCGCAACUGAGUAGUCUAAUGUUGUUCCGGUUUUGGUUCUUGUGAACGUUGACAUCGAUUCGUUCCAAAUUUACACUCUCGGGGCAUAAUAGAACAAUAUAAUUAGGUUUUACGCUUUGUUCGAUUGAAUGAGAAAAAGUACUCGUUGCAAAGUUAUACUGUUAGGGCGCAACUGAGUAGUCUAAUGUUGUUCCGGUUUUGGUUCUUGUGAACGUUGACAUCGAUUCGUUCCAAAUUUACACUCUCGGGGCAUAAUAGAACAAUAUAAUUAGNNNNNNNNNNNNNNNNNNNNNNNNNAGAUCGAUUCGUUCCAAAUUUACACUCUCGGGGCAUAAUAGGAAGUUUUUACUUCUUGUUCGAUAGAAUAAGAAAAAGUACUCAUCGCAAAGUUAUACUGUUAUGGCGCAACUGAGUAGUCUAAUGUUGUUCCGGUUUUGGUUCUUGUCAACGUUGACAUCGAUUCGUUCUAAAUUUACACUCUCGACGCUUGAACAAUAUAAUUAGGUUUUACUCUUUAUUCGAUUGAAUGAGAAAAAGGACUAGUUGCAAUGUUAUACUGUUAGGGCUCAACUGAGUAGUCUAACGUUCUUCCGGUUUUGGUUCUUGUGAACGCUGACAUUGAUUCGUUCCGAAUUUACACCCUUGGGGCAUAAAAGAAAGCUUUUACUCCUUGUUCGAUGAUUGAGAAAAAGUACUCAUUGCAAAGUUAUACUGUUAUGGCGCAAUAGAGUAGUCUAAUGUUGUUCCGGUUUUGGUUCUUGUGAACAUUGACGUCAAUUAGUUCCAAAUUUACACUCUCGGGGCAUAAUAGAACAAUAUUAUUAUGUUUUACGCUUUAUUCGAUUGAACGAGAAAAAGUACUCGUCGCAAAGUUAUUCUAUUAGGCGCAACUGAGUAGUCUAAUGUAGUUCCGGUUAUGGUACUUGUGAACGUUGACAUCGAUUCGUUCCAAAUUUACACUCUCGGGGCAUAAUAGAAAGCUUUUACUCCUUGUUCAAUAGAAUUAGAAAAAGUACUCGUUGCAAAGUUAAACUGUUAAGGCACACAGAGUAGUCUAUUGUUGUUCCGAUUUUGGUUCUUGUCAACGUUGACAUCGAUUCGUUCCAAAUUUACACUCUUGGGGUAUAAUAGAACAAUAUAAUUAGGUUUUACUCUUUAGUCGAUUGAAUGAGAAAAAGUACUAGUUGCAAUGUAAUACUAUCAGGGCUCAACUGAGUAGUCUAACGUUGUUUCUGUUUUGGUUCUUGUGAACGUUGACAUCGAUUCGUUCAAAAUUUACACUCUCGGGGAAUAAUAAAAAGCUUUUACUCCUUACUCGAAACAAUGAGAAAAAGUACACGUUGCAAAGUUAUGCUAUUAUGGCGCAACAGAGUAGCCUAAUGUAGUUCCGGUUUUGGUUCUUGUCAACGUUGACAUCGAUUCGUUCCAAAUAUACACUCUCGGGGCAUAAUAGAACAAUAUCGUUUGGUUUUACUCUUUAUUCGAUUGAAUGAGAGAAAGUACUCGUUGCAAAGUUAUACUGUUAUGGCAAAACUGAGUAGUCAAAUUUAGUUCCUGUUUUGGUUCUUGUGAACUUUGACUUCGAUUCGUUCCAAAUUUAUACUCUCGAGGCAUAAUAGAACAAUAUUAUUAGUUUUGCUAUUUGUUCGAUUGAAUGAGAACAAGUUCUAGUUGCAAAGUUAUACUGUCAAGGCUCAACUGAGUAGUCAAACGUUGUUCCGGUUUUGGUUUUUGUGAACGUCAACAUCGUUACGUUGCAAAUUUACACUCUCGGGGCAUAAUAGAAAGCUUUUACACCUUGUUCGAUAGAAAGAGAAAAAGUACUCGUUGCAAAAUUAUAUUGUUAUGGCGCAACAGAGUAGUCUAAUGUUAUUUCAGGUUUGGUUCUUGUGAACAUUGACAUCGAUUCAUACCAAAUUUACACUCUCGGUGCAUAAUAGAACAACAUAAGUAGGUUUUGCUCUUUGUUCGAUUGAAUGAGAAAAAGUACUAGUUGCAAUCUUAUACUGUUAGGGCUCAACUGAGUUGUCUAACGUUGUUUCGGUUUUGGUUCUCGUGAACGUUGACAUCGAUUCNNNNNNNNNNNNNNNNNNNNNNNNNAUACUGUUAUGGCGCAACUGAGUAGUCUAAUGUUGUUCCAGUUUUGGUUCUUGUGAACGUUGACAUCGAUUCGUUCCAAAUUAAAACUCUCCGGUAAUAAUAGAACAAUAUAAUUAGGUUUUGCUCUUUGUUCGAUUGAAUGAGAAAAAAUACUAGUUGCAAAGUUAUACUGUUAGGGCUCAACUGAGUAGUCUAACGUUGUUCCGGUUUUAGUUCGUGCGAACGUUGACAUUGAUUCGCUCCAAAUUUACACUCUCGGGGCAUAAUAGAUAGCUUUUACUCCUUAUUCGAUAGAAUUAGAAAAAGUACUCGUUGCAAAGUUAAACUGUUAAGGCGCAACUGAGUAGUCUAGCGUUGUUCCAGUUUUGGUUCUUGUGAACGUUGACAUCGAUUCGUUCCAAAUUUACACUCUCGGGGUAUAAUAGAACAAUAUAAUUAGGUUUUACUCUUUGUUCAAUUGAAUAAGAAAAAGUACUGGUUGCAAUGUCAUACUGUUAGGGCUCAACUGAGUAGUCUAACGUUCUUCCGAUUUUGGUUCUCGUGAACGUUG